rnacentral:tRNA from 1 species
GCCUGGCUGGCUUAGUUGGUAAAGCAUGAGACUCAGGGACAUGAGUUUGAGCCCCACAUUGGGUAUAGAGAUUACUUAAGAAAAUAAAGAAAAAAUUUUAUAAAAAAUACUCCAUUUGGGGUGCCUGGCUGGCUCAGUCUGGGGAGCAUGUGACUCUUGAUCUUUGGGUUGUGGGGUCAAGCCCCAUGUUGGGUG